rnacentral:rRNA from 1 species
UACGGAGGAUCCAAGCGUUAUCCGGAUUUAUUGGGUUUAAAGGGUGCGUAGGCGGCUAUAUAAGUCAGAGGUGAAAGACGUCAGCUCAACUGUCGCAGUGCCUUUGAUACUGUAUAGCUUGAAUACAGAUGAAGUAGGCGGAAUGUGGCAAGUAGCGGUGAAAUGCAUAGAUAUGCCACAGAACACCAAUUGCGAAGGCAGCUUACUAAACUGAUAUUGACGCUGAUGCACGAAAGCGUGGGGAUCAAACAGG